UGAUACAUCACAGUGUGUGUGUGUGUAGUCCGUGAGGGUGUUUGUCUGAAUUGAGCAUAAUUGUUUAGGCUAAAUUUAUCCCACCAUGGGAGACUAUUGAGUAGUGAGGGCGUGGCUGAAGCCGGGGCCGCGGCACCCCUCUGCACACACUUCAGGACAAUGGCCUCAAGCAUUCACCAACAGCCAGCCACGCUCCUUCACCACCACACCAACACGGCCAUCACAACAAUGGCUGAUCUAGAGUGGAAGCCUUUUUCCUUAACGUACGUGGAGUAUCCUCAAGGGGAUACUAUAGGAAAAGUCUUGGCAAUAAGCAGCUUAGCACCAGUAGCCAUUAUUGUUGGAUUUAUUACUCUGAUUCUCUUCAGACGAGAUUUACACACAAUAAUGUUUUUUUUGGGGGCUCUGUUAAAUGAAGCAAUAAACUUGGUGCUGAAGAGCAUAAUAGCAGAGCCACGACCUAUACAGAGAGGUGGACUCUACACAGAGUAUGGGAUGCCGUCCUCUCAUUCGCAGAUGAUGUGGUUCUUUGCAGUAUACUCAGUACUCUUCUUAAUUUUCAGAUUACGUCACAUAAGUAACUCGGUCAUGGAGCUGCUGUGGAAAGUGAUGGUAGCUGUCGGCCUUGUUACUGCAGCUUUAAUUGUUAUGUAUUCCAGAGUGUACCUGCUUUACCACACAUGGAGUCAAGUGCUAUUGGGUGCACUUGUGGGUGUAUUACUUGGCUGUAGCUGGUUCACACUCACCCAUCUGGUAUUGACUCCAGUCUUCCCAGUUAUUGCAUCAUGGAGUGUUUGUGAGCGGUUUAUGAUUCGUGACACCUCUCUGAUCCCUAACAUCUUGUGGUUUGAAUAUACACAUGCACGUACAGAGAAUAGAGCUAGAAGCCGCAAACUUACGUCCAUGAAGAGUCAGUGAUUUAAUGGAUAGAAAACUGUCCAUGUGUGGACCAACAGGUUUGCUGACUUGGUGUACCACCUCCAAGGCAACAACUCCUAGUCUCACUGUUAGUAGUUUUAAUUAAAACAGACACUAUUACUGUGAA
rnacentral:misc_RNA from 1 species